GGCGUAACACGUGAGCAACCUGCCUUAUACAUCGGAAUAACAGCUGGAAACGGCUGCUAAUACCGGAUAAGACCACACCAAGGCAUCGUUGGAGAGGUCAAAGCGAAUUAGCGGUAUAAGAUGGGCUCGCGUCCAAUUAGCUAGUUGGUGGGGUAACGGCCCACCCAAGGCAACGAUUGGUAGCCGACUUGAGAGAGUGAUCGGCCACACUGGAACUGAGACACGGUCCAGACUCCUACGGGAGGCAGCAGUAGGGGAUAUUGGGCAAUGGAGGAAAAACCUCUUACCCAGCAAUGCCGCGUGAAUGAUGAAGGUCUUAUGGAUUGUAAAGUUCUUUAAUUGGGGACGAAAGAAAUGACGGUACCCAAAGAAUAAGCCCCGGCUAACUAUGUGCCAGCCGCCGC
rnacentral:rRNA from 1 species